rnacentral:rRNA from 1 species
GAUGAACGCUGGCGGCGUGCCUAAUACAUGCAAGUCGAGCGAACAGACGAGGAGCUUGCUCCUCUGAUGUUAGCGGCGGACGGGUGAGUAACACGUGGACAACCUACCUAUAAGACUGGGAUAACUUCGGGAAACCGGAGCUAAUACCGGAUAACAUGUUGAACCGCAUGGUUCAACAGUGAAAGACGGUCUUGCUGUCACUUAUAGAUGGAUCCGCGCCGCAUUAGCUAGUUGGUAAGGUAACGGCUUACCAAGGCAACGAUGCGUAGCCGACCUGAGAGGGUGAUCGGCCACACUGGAACUGAGACACGGUCCAGACUCCUACGGGAGGCAGCAGUAGGGAAUCUUCCGCAAUGGGCGAAAGCCUGACGGAGCAACGCCGCGUGAGUGAAGAAGGUCUUCGGAUCGUAAAACUCUGUUAUUAGGGAAGAACAAAUGUGUAAGUAACUAUGCACGUCUUGACGGUACCUAAUCAGAAAGCCACGGCUAACUACGUG